AGAGUUUGAUCAUGGCUCAGAUUGAACGCUGGCGGCAGGCCUAACACAUGCAAGUCGAGCGGAUGAAGGGAGCUUGCUCCCUGAUUUAGCGGCGGACGGGUGAGUAAUGCCUAGGAAUCUGCCUGGUAGUGGGGGACAACGUUUCGAAAGGAACGCUAAUACCGCAUACGUCCUACGGGAGAAAGUGGGGGAUCUUCGGACCUCACGCUAUCAGAUGAGCCUAGGUCGGAUUAGCUAGUUGGUGAGGUAAAGGCUCACCAAGGCGACGAUCCGUAACUGGUCUGAGAGGAUGAUCAGUCACACUGGAACUGAGACACGGUCCAGACUCCUACGGGAGGCAGCAGUGGGGAAUAUUGGACAAUGGGCGAAAGCCUGAUCCAGCCAUGCCGCGUGUGUGAAGAAGGUCUUCGGAUUGUAAAGCACUUUAAGUUGGGAGGAAGGGCAGUAAGUUAAUACCUUGCUGUUUUGACGUUACCAACAGAAUAAGCACCGGCUAACUUCGUGCCAGCAGCCGCGGUAAUACGAAGGGUGCAAGCGUUAAUCGGAAUUACUGGGCGUAAAGCGCGCGUAGGUGGUUCGUUAAGUUGGAUGUGAAAGCCCCGGGCUCAACCUGGGAACUGCAUCCAAAACUGGCGAGCUAGAGUAUGGCAGAGGGUGGUGGAAUUUCCUGUGUAGCGGUGAAAUGCGUAGAGGUCGGAAAAAUACCGGUGGCGAAGGCGACUCUCUGGCCAAAGACUGACGCUGAGGCGCGAAAGCGUGGGGAGCAAACAGGAUUAGAUACCCUGGUAGUCCAA
rnacentral:rRNA from 1 species